GCUGUGCACUCGUUCCAAGAGUGUAACAUUGGAAAGAGCUUCUUCACAAAAUGUGGAUGAAGUGGGGGACCAAGAAAUACAUGAAGCUUCUACACAAGAUGUGCAGCCUCCUGUACGUGUCACUCGCGGGCCAAGCAAGUACUUGGAUAUUUGAGAUCUUCCCGAUGAAGAAGAAAUUGAGUUGCCGCUAAAUAGUAUGCAUCAGCCGGUUGAUGAUGGGGUGAGGACUUUCACUGGUUUCUUGGGUACGAUUGCGCGGAAACCUCACAUGUGCCCGAUAAGAUUUCUUAAUUGGAAGAAGGUAGCAGAAGAAUUUAAAGAAGAGUGUUGGCGUCUUGUAGAGCGAAAAUACAGUGUCCCUGCUGAUCCUAUUGCAUAUGCGGCUUUGAAGACAUUUACCUUACAAAAAAUUGGGAAGGCUUGGAGGGAUCAUAAGUCUAAGCUGAAGAAACAGUAUUAUAUACCUCAUUCAAGAAACAAAGCAAGCGUAAAGAGCC